rnacentral:rRNA from 1 species
CGAGAAAGCCCGCAAGGGUGAGUAAAGCGGCGCACGGGUGCGUAACACGUGGGUAAUCUGCCCUAGAGUCUGGAAUAACUCGCCGAAAGGCGUGCUAAUGCCGGAUGAGACCACGGGAGCCUCGGCUCCUGCGGGAAAAGGUGGCCUCUGUAUACAAGCUAUCGCUCUAGGAUGAGCCCGCGGCCCAUCAGCUAGUUGGCGGGGUAAUGGCCCACCAAGGCUACGACGGGUAGCUGGUCUGAGAGGACGAUCAGCCACACUGGAACUGAGACACGGUCCAGACUCCUACGGGAGGCAGCAGUGGGGAAUUUUGCGCAAUGGGCGAAAGCCUGACGCAGCAACGCCGCGUGUGUGAUGAAGGUCUUCGGAUCGUAAAGCACUGUCGCGAGGGACG